CAAGCUUCUGUCUGUGUUGAAUCACAGAUGCUGUAAAUCAUGCAGCACCUGCUCACCGAGCAGCGACAGGGUGCCAGGUCCUACUGGGACCCAGGCACCGUCCCACGGGGCGCCCAGUCUUGGGGGAAGGCAAUGACAAGCCAGGAGACAGGAGAAUUUCCCAGCUGUGCUUAGUACUUUCACUCACUCACUCACUCAUUCAUUCAUUCAGGGCAUGUUUAUUCAGGCCCUCUUGUGUGUCCGGCAGGGUUCAAGGUGCUGGGGCUCAGCAGGAAACAAAGGGGCCCGGGAUCCCUCAUGGGGCUGACUUUCUGGUGGGAGAGAGGCAAGAGCAGAUGAGGCCAAUAAGUCGAACACGCGAUCUCGAUGAAUGGUAGUAGUGCUGUGGGCAGAAAUAAAGCAGGGGGGUGGGGGUGCGGGGGGGGCGCAGGUAGACAACGAGUCAAGAGAGCGAUACCUGAGGCAGCCAUGUGGGUAUCAGGGAGAGGGUGCCACGCCAAGGGAACAGUACAUGUGCAAAGGUCCUGGGGUGUGAAUAGUAGAGGCACGCGGGGAGACGGGGCCAGACCUGGGGGGCUUUGCCCCUGAGACUGAUGACAGCCACGGGAAGGUCUUGAGCAGAGGGCACAUGAGAUGGGCCCCCAAAUUCCACCAUCUGGCUCAACCCUUGUUCCCAGGCCAACUCCCAGUGCCCUCGGGGUUGAGGGGCGGGCAAGGGGAGGCAGCUGGGCCGGCAACCGAGUGGCUGCAGGUGGAUUCCGACGGUGAAGGAGGACUUCCAGGAUCUCGGAACCGCUCUCUGUCUUGCAAAACACCCCCACUGGCUUUCCUGAUCCUGAAAGCGCCACACGCGCGCUCCACCAAAACCUGUCCCGGGUGAGAGGAGAAAGGGCCCUUUGUUCCCCGGCCCCUCGUCCCCCCUGGAACCUUCUGGCUCCCCGCGCCAGGCAGCAGCGGCGGCGCACCUCGGCACUGUGGUUUCUUCACGCAGAGUUUUGCAACAGCUUUUUUCCACUCGACAAUAGAGGGCCCCACAGCUUUUAUUUCCAGAAAUUGGAAAAUGAAGCGUGUCCAGCCCCUGCCGGCUCACCCACCUUGGGCUGAAAUUUCAGCCACGUGAAGCGGCCGGGCUGGGGUG
rnacentral:lncRNA from 1 species